rnacentral:rRNA from 1 species
GAUGAACGCUGACAGAAUGCUUAACACAUGCAAGUCUACUUGAACUUCGGUUUGGGUGGCGGACGGGUGAGUAACGCGUAAAGAACUUGCCUCACAGUUAGGGACAACAUUUGGAAACGAAUGCUAAUACCUGAUAUUAUGAUUUUAGGGCAUCCUAAGAUUAUGAAAGCUAUAUGCGCUGUGAGAGAGCUUUGCGUCCCAUUAGCUAGUUGGAGAGGUAACGGCUCACCAAGGCGAUGAUGGGUAGCCGGCCUGAGAGGGUGAACGGCCACAAGGGGACUGAGACACGGCCCUUACUCCUACGGGAGGCAGCAGUGGGGAAUAUUGGACAAUGGACCAAAAGUCUGAUCCAGCAAUUCUGUGUGCACGAUGACGUUUUUCGGAAUGUAAAGUGCUUUCAGUUGGGAAGAAAAAAAUGACGGUACCAACAGAAGAAGUGACGGUAA